CCUGAUCCAGCCAUGCCGCGUGAGUGAAGAAGGCCUUCGGGUUGUAAAGCUCUUUCAGAUGCGAAGAUGAUGACGGUAACAUCAGAAGAAGCCCCGGCUAAUUUCGUGCCAGCAGCCGCGGUAAUACGAAAGGGGCUAGCGUUGUUCGGAUUUACUGGGCGUAAAGGGCACGCAGGCGGUCUUGCCAGUCAGGGGUGAAAGCCCGGGGCUCAACCCCGGAACUGCCUCUGAUACUGCAAGACUAGAGACUAGGAGAGGGUGGUGGAAUUCCCAGUGUAGAGGUGAAAUUCGUAGAUAUUGGGAGGAACACCAGAGGCGAAGGCGGCCACCUGGACUAGAUCUGACGCUCAGGUGCGAAAGCGUGGGGAGCAAACAGGAUUAGAUACCCUGGUAGUCCACGCCGUAAACGAUGAGUGCUAGUUGUCGGGACUUCGGUUUCGGUGACGCAGCUAACGCAUUAAGCACUCCGCCUGG
rnacentral:rRNA from 1 species